UACGUAGGGAGCGAGCGUUGUCCGGAUUCAUUGGGCGUAAAGAGCUCGUAGGCGGCUUGGUAAGUCGGAUGUGAAACCCUCCAGGCUCAACCUGGAGUCGCCAUCCGAUACUGCCAUGGCUAGAGUCCGGUAGGGGCCCACGGAAUUCCUGGUGUAGCGGUGAAAUUGCGCAGAUAUCAGGAGGAACACCGAGUGGCGAAGGCAGUGGGCUGGGCCGGCACUGACGCUGGAGGAAGCGAAAGGCGUGGGGGAGCGAACAGG
rnacentral:rRNA from 1 species